AAAUUUCUGAAGUAUUCGUCAGUUUCCUUGUUGAACCUACAUUGUUAAAACGGGAGAUCAAUAUUUAAUUAUAGAACGAAUCAAAAACCGGCUUAAGCCGUCCAAUGUUUCGUCAAAUCCAGGUCCCAGACUGCAAAACAUGGGAAAGGAUUGGUAAUUGUGCGAUCACCCACCUAUUGAGAGAUAGGUGUCAACACGGAAACAACGGUGUUUUGGAUAUAUA
rnacentral:other from 1 species